UACGUAGGUGGCGAGCGUUGUCCGGAUUUACUGGGCGUAAGGAGCGCGCAGGCGGUCGUACAAGUCGCGUGUGAAGCCCCCGGCUCAACUGGGGAGGGUCACGCGAUACUGUUCGACUCGAAGGCAGGAGAGGGAAGCGGAAUUCCCGGUGUAGUGGUGAAAUGCGUAGAUAUCGGGAGGAACACCAGUGGCGAAGGCGGCUUCCUGGCCUGUUCUUGACGCUGAGGCGCGAAAGCUAGGGUAG
rnacentral:rRNA from 1 species